rnacentral:rRNA from 1 species
UACGUAGGGGGCUAGCGUUGUCCGGAAUUACUGGGCGUAAAGGGCUCGUAGGCGGCCAACUAAGUCGGAUGUGAAAUCCCCAGGCUUAACCUGGGAACUGCAUCCGAUACUGGAUGGCUUGAAUCCGGGAGAGGGAUGCAGAAUUCCAGGUGUAGCGGUGAAAUGCGUAGAUAUCUGGAGGAAUACCGGUGGCGAAGGCGGCAUCCUGGACCGGCAUUGACGCUGAGUGAGCGAAAGCCAGGGGAGCAAACGGG